UACGAAGGGGGGCUAGCGUUGCUCGGAAUGACUGGGCGUAAAGGGCGCGUAGGCGGCGCAGUUAGUCAGGCGUGAAAUUCCUGGGCUCAACCUGGGGACUGCGCUUGAUACGGCUGUGCUUGAGGAUGGAAGAGGCUCGCGGAAUUCCCGAGUAGAGGUGAAAUUCGUAGAUAUUGGGAAGAACACCGGUGGCGAAGGCGGCGAUGUCG
rnacentral:rRNA from 1 species